AUGUGUUAUGUAGUGAGGAGGACAAGUUGUGGUCUGUGUAGUGGAAUAAUACGUUAUGAAGUGGGGAGGACAAGUUGUGGUCUGUGUAGUGGAAUAAUACGUUAUGAAGUGGGGAGGACAAGUUGUGGUCUGUGUAGUGGAAUAAUACGUUAUGAAGUGGGGAGGACAAGUUGUGGUCUGUGUAGUGGAAUAAUACGUUAUGAAGUGGGGAGGACAAGUGGUCUGUGUAGUGGAAUAAUACGUUAUGAAGUGGGGAGGACAAGUUGUGGUCUGUGUAGUGGAAUAAUGUGUUAUGAAGUGGGGAGGACAAGUUGUGGUCUGUGUAGUGGAAUAAUGUGUUAUGUAGUGAGGAGGACAAGUUGUGGUCUGUGUAGUGGAAUAAUACGUUAUGAAGUGGGGAGGACAAGUUGUGGUCUGUGUAGUGGAAUAAUAUGUUAUGUAGUGGGGAGGACAAGUUGUGGUCUGUGUAGUGGAAUAAUACGUUAUGAAGUGGGGAGGACAAGUUGUGGUCUGUGUAGUGGAAUAAUAUGUUAUGUAGUGGGGAGGACAAGUUGUGGUCUGUGUAGUGGAAUAAUACGUUAUGAAGUGGGGAGGACAAGUUGUGGUCUGUGUAGUGGAAUAAUACGUUAUGAAGUGGGGAGGACAAGUUGUGGUCUGUGUAGUGGAAUGAUACGUUAUGUAGUGGGGAGGACAAGUUGUGGUCUGUGUAGUGGAAUAAUACGUUAUGAAGUGGGGAGGACAAGUUGUGGUCUGUGUAGUGGAAUAAUACGUUAUGAAGUGGGGAGGACAAGUUGUGGUCUGUGUAGUGGAAUAAUGUGUUAUGUAGUGAGGAGGACAAGUUGUGGUCUGUGUAGUGGAAUAAUACGUUAUGAAGUGGGGAGGACAAGUUGUGGUCUGUGUAGUGGAAUAAUACGUUAUGAAGUGGGGAGGACAAGUUGUGGUCUGUGUAGUGGAAUAAUACGUUAUGAAGUGGGGAGGACAAGUUGUGGUCUGUGUAGUGGAAUAAUGUGUUAUGUAGUGAGGAGGACAAGUUGUGGUCUGUGUAGUGGAAUAAUACGUUAUGUAGUGGGGAGGACAAGUUGUGGUCUGUGUAGUGGAAUAAUACGUUAUGUAGUGGGGAGGACAAGUUGUGGUCUGUGUAGUGGAAUAAUACGUUAUGAAGUGGGGAGGACAAGUUGUGGUCUGUGUAGUGGAAUAAUACGUUAUGAAGUGGGGAGGACAAGUUGUGGUCUGUGUAGUGGAAUAAUACGUUAUGAAGUGGGGAGGACAAGUUGUGGUCUGUGUAGUGGAAUAAUACGUUAUGAAGUGGGGAGGACAAGUUGUGGUCUGUGUAGUGGAAUAAUACGUUAUGAAGUGGGGAGGACAAGUUGUGGUCUGUGUAGUGGAAUAAUACGUUAUGAAGUGGGGAGGACAAGUUGUGGUCUGUGUAGUGGAAUAAUACGUUAUGAAGUGGGGAGGACAAGUUGUGGUCUGUGUAGUGGAAUAAUACGUUAUGAAGUGGGGAGGACAAGUUGUGGUCUGUGUAGUGGAAUAAUACGUUAUGUAGUGGGGAGGACAAGUUGUGGUCUGUGUAGUGGAAUAAUACGUUAUGAAGUGGGGAGGACAAGUUGUGGUCUGUGUAGUGGAAUAAUACGUUAUGUAGUGGGGAGGACAAGUUGUGGUCUGUGUAGUGGAAUAAUACGUUAUGAAGUGGGGAGGACAAGUUGUGGUCUGUGUAGUGGAAUAAUACGUUAUGAAGUGGGGAGGACAAGUUGUGGUCUGUGUAGUGGAAUAAUAUGUUAUGUAGUGGGGAGGACAAGUUGUGGUCUGUGUAGUGGAAUAAUACGUUAUGAAGUGGGGAGGACAAGUUGUGGUCUGUGUAGUGGAAUAAUACGUUAUGAAGUGGGGAGGACAAGUUGUGGUCUGUGUAGUGGAAUAAUACGUUAUGAAGUGGGGAGGACAAGUUGUGGUCUGUGUAGUGGAAUAAUACGUUAUGAAGUGGGGAGGACAAGUUGUGGUCUGUGUAGUGGAAUAAUACGUUAUGUAGUGGGGAGGACAAGUUGUGGUCUGUGUAGUGGAAUAAUACGUUAUGUAGUGGGGAGGACAAGUUGUGGUCUGUGUAGUGGAAUAAUACGUUAUGAAGUGGGGAGGACAAGUUGUGGUCUGUGUAGUGGAAUAAUACGUUAUGAAGUGGGGAGGACAAGUUGUGGUCUGUGUAGUGGAAUAAUACGUUAUGUAGUGGGGAGGACAAGUUGUGGUCUGUGUAGUGGAAUAAUACGUUAUGAAGUGGGGAGGACAAGUUGUGGUCUGUGUAGUGGAAUAAUACGUUAUGUAGUGGGGAGGACAAGUUGUGGUCUGUGUAGUGGAAUAAUACGUUAUGAAGUGGGGAGGACAAGUUGUGGUCUGUGUAGUGGAAUAAUGUGUUAUGUAGUGAGGAGGACAAGCAUCUUAAAAAGUAAUUUGUAA
ensembl:lncRNA